rnacentral:rRNA from 1 species
AUCCAAACAUUGUGACGUACNCGUCAGCGUUGCCUCGGCGGGCGGCCCCUCCCUGGGGCCGCUGCCUCCCUCGGGGGGUGCCCGCCGGCGUACCAAAACUCUUUUGUAUUUUAGUGGCCUCUCUGAGAAAACAAGCAAAUAAGUUAAAACUUUCAACAACGGAUCUCUUGGUUCUGGCAUCGAUGAAGAACGCAGCGAAAUGCGAUAAGUAAUGUGAAUUGCAGAAUUCAGUGAAUCAUCGAAUCUUUGAACGCACAUUGCGCCCGCCAGUACUCUGGCGGGCAUGCCUGUUCGAGCGUCAUUUCAACCCUCAAGCCCUGGCUUGGUGUUGGGGUCUACGGCUGGCCGUAGGCCCUGAAAGCUAGUGGCGGGCUCGCUAUAACUCCGAGCGUAGUAGUAAAAUAUCUCGCUAGGGAGGUGUCGCGGGUUCGGCGUGAAAGCCCAUCUUUUACACAAGGUUGACCUCGGAUCAGGUAGGAAUACCCGCUGAACUUAAGCAUAUCAAUAAGCGGAGGAA